CCUACGGGAGGCAGCAGUGAGGAAUAUUGGUCAAUGGACGCAAGCCUGAACCAGCCAAGCCGCGUGAAGGAUGACUGCCCUACGGGUUGUAAACUUCUUUUGUAAAGGAAUAAAGUGAGGCACGUGUGCCUUUUUGUAUGUACUUUAUGAAUAAGGAUCGGCUAACUCCGUGCCAGCAGCCGCGGUAAUACGGAGGAUCCGAGCGUUAUCCGGAUUUAUUGGGUUUAAAGGGAGCGUAGGUGGUUUGUUAAGUCAGUUGUGAAAGUUCGCGGCUCAACCGUAAAAGUGCAAUUGAUACUGGUAGCCUUGAGAACAGUUGAGGUAGGCGGAAUUCGUGGUGUAGCGGUGAAAUACUUAGAUAGCACGAAGAACACCGAUUGCGAAGGCAGCCUACUAAACUGCAACUGACAUUGAUGCACGAAAGUGUGGGUAUCAAACAGGAUUAGAUACCCGAGUAGUC
rnacentral:rRNA from 1 species